AUGCUUUGUUCUACAGUUGUGAUCCUGUGAUCAUGAAGAUGGUUUUCCCAGGGGAAGGCUCAUCUGUUGCACAAAGGGUUUGCUGACUCCUGCAGAUUUUCCAAAUGCAGGAAACCUGACUGCAUAACUUGUAGUGGAGGGGGGUGGGUGGGUUCAUGCUUUCA